rnacentral:rRNA from 1 species
GACGAACGCUGGCGGCGUGCUUAACACAUGCAAGUCGAACGGUGAAGCGCCUUCCUUUUUGGUGGGUGUGGAUGAGUGGCGAACGGGUGAGUAACACGUGAGUAACCUGCCCCCUUCUUCUGGAUAACCGCAUGAAAGUGUGGCUAAUACGGGAUAUUCUGGGUCUGUCGCAUGAUGGGUCUGGGAAAGAUAUUGUUUCGGUGGGGGAUGGGCUCGCGGCCUAUCAGCUUGUUGGUGGGGUGAUGGCCUACCAAGGCGGUGACGGGUAGCCGGCCUGAGAGGGUGGACGGUCACACUGGGACUGAGACACGGCCCAGACUCCUACGGGAGGCAGCAGUGGGGAAUAUUGCACAAUGGGCGCAAGCCUGAUGCAGCGACGCCGCGUGAGGGAUGGAGGCCUUCGGGUUGUGAACCUCUUUCACCAGUGUAGCAGGCCUGCCUCGUUUGUGGGUGGGUUGACGGUAGCUGGAUAAGAAGCGCCGGCUAACUACGUG